AGCCCGUACUCCCUCGACUCCACCUCCACCCCACUCCACUGCCACCAUGCUGCUGCUCCACUGCUCCCCGCGCCUCCAUCUCCACUGCCUCUACCCAACUCGCCGCCGCCCCCUCGCCUCUCCCUUCCCUCUUCCCGACCGUCGCCUCCGCCGCUCCACCGCCAUCCACGCCGAGCCUGAAGCGCCGCCGCCGCCGCCUUCCUCCGCGGCGGAGCCAGAGCCGCCAGACGCCGGCGCCGUCGACGUCGAAGGCGAGGGCCCCGUAGAGCUCCGAGCCCCGACGCUCUUCUCCACCGACGACAAUCCCACCCCGCUCCAGACCGCCACCAGCCUCCUCCUCACCGGCGCCAUCUCCAUCUUCCUCUUCCGCUCCCUCCGCCGCCGCGCCCGGCGCGCCAAGGAGCUGAGGGUGCGGUCGAGCGGGGUGAAGAAGAAGCCCAACAAUCUCACCGAGGAGGCCCUGGAGGGGCUCAGGAUGAUAAGCGCCUCGCCAAUCGAGACCGAGAAGCCGCCGUCGCCCAUACAGGCUCUGCUCGGCGGGAUAGCUGCAGGGGUCAUCGCGCUCAUCCUCUACAAGUUCAGCACCACCAUAGAGGCCGCGCUCAACCGCCAGACCAUCUCCGACAGCUUCUCGGUUCGUCAGAUAACAAUCACAAUAAGAACAAUUAUCACUGGGCUGUGCUACCUAGCAACUUCUGUCUUUGGAAUCAAUGCAGUGGGGUUAAUUUUGUAUUCCCUCCAACUCACUUUUCAAUCUAUCAUGGACGAUGACUCAAGCAGCUCCUCCACAGGGAAGAUUAGCGAACAAUCAAAUACAAUGGUAUCAUCCGAUAGCUCCACAAGUAAUAGGGAAUCAGCCAGUAGUGACUUGCAGCAGAUAUCUGACAAGAGUAAGAACUCAUCAGAGUAGCAGAGUUGCCAUGCAAUACAGUAGCAACACCUGAGGGUACAUAUAAUUGGAUAAUCAAUCCAUUAGAGCGACUCCUUGAAUUUUGGAACUCCAGGAACAACAGAAACAAAAUGGAUUUCCAGGAUACACCAUCAAUCAGGCAUGGGCCAGCACAUGUAUCAUCUUGGAGACGUUAUUCAGCAAACAACGCAUGGUCCAUACUUGUAAGCAAUUUCUGGUGUUCAACUAGUCUUUUUUUUUGACAAUGCAAGAAAUGGACAGAUAGCAUUUCAGCA